GAGAGUUUGAUCCUGGCUCAGAUUGAACGCUGGCGGCAGGCCUAACACAUGCAAGUCGAGCGGUAGAGAGAAGCUUGCUUCUCUUGAGAGCGGCGAACGGGUGAGUAAUGCCUAGGAAUCUGCCUGGUAGUGGGGGAUAACGUUCGGAAACGGACGCUAAUACCGCAUACGUCCUACGGGAGAAAGCAGGGGACCUUCGGGCCUUGCGCUAUCAGAUGAGCCUAGGUCGGAUUAGCUAGUUGGUGGGGUAAUGGCUCACCAAGGCGACGAUCCGUAACUGGUCUGAGAGGAUGAUCAGUCACACUGGAACUGAGACACGGUCCAGACUCCUACGGGAGGCAGCAGUGGGGAAUAUUGGACAAUGGGCGAAAGCCUGAUCCAGCCAUGCCGCGUGUGUGAAGAAGGUCUUCGGAUUGUAAAGCACUUUAAGUUGGGAGGAAGGGCAGUAAAUUAAUACUUUGCUGUUUUGACGUUACCGACAGAAUAAGCACCGGCUAACUCUGUGCCAGCAGCCGCGGUAAUACAGAGGGUGCAAGCGUUAAUCGGAAUUACUGGGCGUAAAGCGCGCGUAGGUGGUUAGUUAAGUUGGAUGUGAAAUCCCCGGGCUCAACCUGGGAACUGCAUUCAAAACUGACUGACUAGAGUAUGGUAGAGGGUGGUGGAAUUUCCUGUGUAGCGGUGAAAUGCGUAGAUAUAGGAAGGAACACCAGUGGCGAAGGCGACCACCUGGACUGAUACUGACACUGAGGUGCGAAAGCGUGGGGAGCAAACAGGAUUAGAUACCCUGGUAGUCCACGCCGUAAACGAUGUCAACUAGCCGUUGGGAGCCUUGAGCUCUUAGUGGCGCAGCUAACGCAUUAAGUUGACCGCCUGGGGAGUACNGCCGCAAGGUUAAAACUCAAAUGAANUUGACGGGGGGCCCGCACAAGCGGUGGAGCAUGUGGCUUAAUUCGAAGCAAC
rnacentral:rRNA from 1 species